GCUGGGAUAGCUCAGUCGGUAGAGCAUGAGACUCUUAAUCUCAGGAUUGUGCCCCGCAUUGGGUGAAAGAUUCCUGCA